rnacentral:rRNA from 1 species
AUUGAACGCUGGCGGCAUGCCUUACACAUGCAAGUCGAACGGCAGCACGGGGGUAACCCUGGUGGCGAGUGGCGAACGGGUGAGUAAUGCAUCGGAACGUACCCAGUUGUGGGGGAUAGCCCGGCGAAAGCCGGAUUAAUACCGCAUACGACCUGAGGGUGAAAGCGGGGGACCGAAAGGCCUCGCGCAGUUGGAGCGGCCGAUGUCGGAUUAGCUAGUUGGUGGGGUAAAGGCUUACCAAGGCGACGAUCCGUAGCUGGUCUGAGAGGACGAACAGCCACACUGGGACUGAGACACGGCCCAGACUCCUACGGGAGGCAGCAGUGGGGAAUUUUGGACAAUGGGGGAAACCCUGAUCCAGCCAUGCCGCGUGCGGGAAGAAGGCCUUCGGGUUGUAAAGCUCUUUCGGCCGGGAAGAAAUCGUGCAGGCUAAUACCCUGUAUGGAUGACGGUACCGGAAUAAGAAGCACCGGCUAACUACGUGCCAGCCGCCGCAGUAAUAC